rnacentral:lncRNA from 1 species
UCUUUUUAUGACCAUCUCUUCGAUGAAAGUGUGACAGUUAAGUGCAAUGGAAACCUGUGGAGGUGUUUCUCUAAGUGCUUUAGCUGCUUAAAGCAAAAAUCAUGGUGCUUGGUGAUCUGAGGAGCCGAACUGUGAGACAAGGAAAAUGUAGAGUUUUGGAAGUAUGGAGUGGAGUUUGAGGUGAGGUUUGUACAUCCACAAAAAGACACCAAAUAGGCAGGUGAAAAUGUGGUUUAGAGCUCAGAAGAGAUGCUUGAGCUAAAGUUGUGCAAUGUGAAACUCAUACAUCUGAGUUAGCACCUGGAGCUGUUGGCAUUGGCGGCGAGAUGGCUCUAUGAAAACCUUCUUGGUGCUCACAUAUAUCCAGAAGUAAAAAGAAAACAACAAACAAACAAACAAAACAAAAAAGAGAAGGCUUUAGAAUGGUGCUCAGAGAAGGAAGAAAACUCAAUUCUACAAUGUAAUGCGAGGAUGUGGGGAGACUACUGCAACAGGGCAUGGGGGCCAUGAAAAAAGAAACUAGUACAUAUUAACUGUCUACCAUGGCCUGAUGUGGCGCUGGGCACCAUCAUGCAGUUACCUUUCACAUGCAUAAUCUUGUUUAAUUUUCCCAAUUAUCUUGCGAAGUCCACUAGUGCUUGGAAAGUUUUGAUAAUUUGCCCACGCGCACCUCAUUAGUGCUGGAACUGUGCAGUUAAGAUAUGUCUGACUCUAAAGUCCAUGCUCAACAGCAUUAAAUCCAUGUGCAGAAAUCCACAGAAAAUAAGUGAAAGAAGGAGAUGAGAUCAUUGGUAUCUUCGGGUGAUAGCUGUCUCAGUAGAAAGAAAGAGAAGUUUAGGUGGAAAAAAAAAGCAGUAAGGAAACAGAAGCAAUGAUUAUAGAUUAUGCAUUCCUUAAAUGUGACUCUGAAUGCAAAGAGAGGAAUGUAUGUCAUUCCCAACA